AGCGAACGCUGGCGGCGUGCUUAACACAUGCAAGUCGAACGUGAAAAGGGGCAACCCUGAGUAAAGUGGCGUACGGGUGAGUAACACGUAGGUAAUCUACCCUAGAGUUCUGAAUAACCUGCCGAAAGGCGGGCUAAUACAGGAUAGAGCGACAUAUCUGUAAGGGAUAAGUCGGGAAAGGGAGCCUGCAAGGGCCCCUGCUUUAGGAUGAGCCUGCGGCCUAUCAGCUAGUUGGUGGGGUAAAAGCCUACCAAGGCGAUGACGGGUAGCUGGUCUGAGAGGAUGAUCAGCCACACUGGGACUGAAACACGGCCCAGACUCCGACGGGAGGCAGCAGUGGGGAAUCUUGCGCAAUGGGCGAAAGCCUGACGCAGCCACGCCGCGUGAGUGAAGAAGGCCUUCGGGUUGUAAAGCUCUGUUGCCCGGGACGAAAAGCCUGUAGGUUAAUAGCCUGCAGGACUGACGGUACCGGGAGAGGAAGCACCGGCUAACUCCGUGCCAGCCGCCGCUGUAA
rnacentral:rRNA from 1 species